AUUGGUCACAUUUUCUCCACUGAAUGCCUCAACGGGAGCUUCUUGGAAGUCAGUGGGGAUGAGCAUUUCAAAACAGGCAGAGAAACCUCAGGAGUCGACCUGUCAGCUGCAAGUCUCUGGUUCGAGAAACUGGGAAAACAUCCCAUACUUUUGCAAGAGGUCACGACCACAGUGGAGGAAAUUCUAAUUCCCUCCUUGACCAAGUCUCCUGCUGGUGUGGAAGCUCUUCGAGUCUAUCUUGUUCUGCCAGAACUCAUAGAUAUCCAGAUGGAGGAGAACAACU